GACGAACGCUGGCGGCGUGCUUAACACAUGCAAGUCGAACGGAAAGGCCCUGCUUGCAGUGUACUCGAGUGGCGAACGGGUGAGUAACACGUGGGUGGUCUGCCCUGCACUUCGGGAUAAGCCUCGGAAACUGGGUCUAAUACCUGAUAGGAGCCAUUUUUAGUGUGAUGGUUGGAAAGUUUUUUCGGGGUAGGAUGAGCUCGCGGCCUAUCAGCUUGUUGGUGGGGUAAUGGCCUACCAAGGCGGCGACGGGUAGCCGGCCUGAGAGGGUGGACGGCCACAUUGGGACUGAGAUACGGCCCAGAUUCCUAAGGGAGGCAGAAGUGGGGAAUCUUGCACGAUGGGCGCAAGCCUGAUGCAGAGACGCCGCGUGGGGGAUGACGGCCUUCGGGUUGUAAACUCCUUUCGCUAGGGACGAAGCUUUUUGUGACGGUACCUAGAGAAGAAGCACCGGCUAACUACGUG
rnacentral:rRNA from 1 species